CUUUCCCUCAAUAUUUUAGCAUUUCCCAUCUGGCAACGCGGUCCGUUAGACAUUCUGAGGCUGGGACAAGAGCUACAUGUUCCAAGCGACCUUCUCCUAUUGAAGACGGGGAAGGAGCUGGCAGCAGCAGCGCAGGUAACCUAAUGGCACCGUCCCCCACAGCUGUGCUGUCGGCCAAGAAAUUGCGCACACAGGCCAAGGAAAAAGAUGAUGCACAAUCCAAAAAAAGGAGUUGACCAAAGCAAAGGAGGCCCUGUGGGCAGAACAAACAAUUUUUAAUCAGUAUUAACAGUAUUUUGAAUGUGAGGGCUGUUGAAAAGCACUUCAAUGUUAUUGCUUUAUGUUGUUUCUCUUCACAUUGGUUGCUUUGUUUUAAUAAAAUGUUUUAUACUCUUA